GACUCGCACAGGUCUAUUUCUUGUGCCCUGGACCAGGACCUCGGGUCGCUGGGAUGGAAAUCUCUCGCCGUUAAGAGUGCUCAACCACUACCCGAAAGGAUGAAGAUCGCUACUAAGCCCUGCGAUUUGGUUGUUU
rnacentral:sRNA from 10 species